UACGGAGGGGGUUAGCGUUGUUCGGAAUGACUGGGCGUAAAGCGCGCGUAGGCGGAUCAGUAAGUUGGGGGUGAAAUCCCGGGGCUCAACCCCGGAAUGGCCUUCAAAACUCCUGGUCUUGAGUUCGAGAGAGGUGAGUGGAAUUCCGAGUGUAGAGGUGAAAUUCGUAGAUAUUCGCAAGAACACCAGUGGCGAAGGCGGCUCACUGGCCCGAUACUGACGCUGAGGUGCGAAAGCGUGGGGAGCAAACAGG
rnacentral:rRNA from 1 species